UACGUAGGGACCAAGCGUUGUUCGGAUUUACUGGGCGUAAAGGGCGCGUAGGCGGCUUAACAAGUCACUUGUGAAAUCUCCGGGCUUAACUCGGAACGGCCAAGUGAAACUGUCAAGCUAGAGUGCAGAAGGGGCAAUCGGAAUUCUUGGUGUAGCGGUGAAAUGCGUAGAUAUCAAGAGGAACACCUGAGGCGAAGGCGGGUUGCUGGGCUGACACUGACGCUGAUGCGCGAAAGCCAGGGGAGCGAACGGG
rnacentral:rRNA from 1 species